ensembl:processed_transcript
AAACAGAGGAAGUUUUCGCAUUCUGACUGCAGCCUGAGUUCCCCGGAGCAAGGCUGCUUCUCUCCACCCACUCCUCACCAAGAACUCCUGAACUUGAGAGUGGACGACUUCAAAGCUAGCUCCCACAGACUCACCUGGAAAAGAGUUCAGCUGCGCGUUCAUUGAACCGAGAGGCCAGAUCACCUAUGUGAGGCGGUGGGAACCAUAUGGAGAUUUAUAUUAGAACUUCAGCAAAGUGCACAGCUGCAGCCGGCAGAAGCCAGCUCUCGGGCUGACAGGCAAAUGAACCAGAUCGUGGACGGGGCCUCUGGGUGGCAGCUCCGGCCUUUUGGUUGUUGGACAACUAUAGUCAGAACUGAAAUGGAACAGGGGCAGGAGAAAUAACACACUUUUACUCCACGCAACUGUUGCUUUCACAUGAUCUUCAGGAAUGUAACUGGGAUAAUUGUCCAAAUUGAAUCCCAUACCCUGUCAUGCAUACCAGAAUAGGAGUCCUGUCUUAACUGAGCAAUAUACACUAUGGAGAGAUCCUUCAAAACCCGUCGGGACGAAUAACAGAUGAAUUCAUAAAACUGUUCAUCUCUGUUAUCCUGAAUGGUCACUCAGACAACAUUUUACUCAACUAUAAAGGGGAACACUUAAAGUGCAUAUGAGAAGAGAAGAGAAUGACCACAGGAGAAAAUCAUCUCAGGUAAAACGAAAAGGCACAAAUGUAGAGAGUAAUUAAUCUUAGAAUAUUAAAGAGAAAAUGAUUAUGUCUGUGUUUGUUAUAAGAAAUGGUCCUUCCCUUUAUGAAGCUACGUAUUUGGGAUUUUCACUGAUGGUUUUCCUUCAAGAGUUUACAGUAUUACUUGCCUUUGUCAACCUUUUGUUUGGUUUUGUGAUCAAUGCCCAGUGUCCAUCAUUCUGAGGACAUAUCUGUAUGUUGAUUUAUACAAUUCAGGUACAAGAUGGUUGAAUAGGAAGCUAUUUAAUGAAAAGGAAAAUAUGUUCUCAGUGGUUAUACAUUAUAAAAGGAAGUAAAAAUCUGAUAGAAAAGUAUAAGCUCAUAGUUUAUUUUUAAUCUUUUCCAUAUAUCUAGUAAGACAAUAAUGUCAAAGUAUAUUUUGUAGUAAUAAAAGCUACAGCCAGUGUUUCCUCUUUUUUUUUUUAACAUAAAAUGUAUAAAUAUAUAAGGAAAUACUUUUACUACAAUUGGAUGCAUGAUUGUUGAUUAUUUACUACAGUUUUAAUAAGUAGGAGAAUGAUUUGAAAAUAAAUAAUGGUGAAAAUUUGUGUAGGCCAAAUUAUCUGUAUUAAACUGGAGAAAAUACAUUCUAUUUUUAUUUAUUUCAAAACAUGCCAAAUCAUGAAGUAAUUACUAUGCAGUAUUAUUUUUCACAAUGAAGAUAUAAUUAAGAAAAGCUAAAUCAUUUUAGAUAUGAGUGCAAUGAUUAACGAUUGUACAACUUAUAAUUUUGCUUCAGAUGAGCUUAGAAUCCUAAAAAUGUACAUGUAACUGGCUUCAUGUGUGCUUACUGGCUUGCUUUCUUACAGUGUAGUAGCUGACAGAAUUAAGAAUCAUUUAUUUCAUUUCAACCUGUUGAACAGAGGAAUUAUAUGUAGCUGUGUAUUUUGUUGAAAGGAUAUAGUUCUUGGGAAAUAGAUUUAAAUGUGUUUUGUUGAAAGGGAAUGUAUGCUCCUUGGUGUGAUAUAAGCGACUACAAAUAUUCCAGAAUAGCAGGAAUAACACCGAUCAUGUCAUUGAUUUUAGGGUUUUUUGAUACCAUAUCUUUUCCUCACUGCUGUAAAAGUUUAAUUUCAUCCCCACUGUAGGCACAUGUCUGUACAUCUAGAAUUUGUGGGUUUUGUGUUCUUUACCUAGUCAACAAGACCUCAUUUGUUUAUAAAAAGCUAUAAUGUGACUAAAUCUCAAAAAUCAUUAACUGAGUUUUAUGUGAAUAAAUACAGUCACUCUAGUGCAUAUACAGUUUAAUAACUUCCUUUUUAGUUGUAGACUUAUCAUACUAUAUCUGUGCCUCACAACAGUAUAAUUUGUAUGUACAUAUAUUAGGUUCUCAAUUAGGACAUUUUAACAACAACGUUAAAAUAUUCACAGUUUAAAACAAAAGCAAUCUUUAAAAAAGAAAAAAAUCAAGAAGAAAAGAGAGAAGUAAGAAAAGAAGAAAGGGAGGA